UACGUAGGUGGCAAGCGUUGUCCGGAUUUAUUGGGUUUAAAGGGUGCGUAGGCGGUGUCCUAAGUCAGUUGUGAAAUACGGCAGCUUAACUGUCGAGGUGCAAUUGAUACUGGGACACUUGAGUACUGGAUGAGGUAUGCGGAAUGGACGGUGUAGCGGUGAAAAUGCUUAGAUAUCGUCAGAACACCGAUAGCGAAGCAGCAUACUAAGGAGUAAC
rnacentral:rRNA from 1 species